rnacentral:lncRNA from 1 species
AUGUCUGCAAUCACAGCUAAUGGGGCACGAGGAAGAGCUUGUCUAGUAGCAAGCAGUGCAGAGAGAACGCAUGAAAAACAAGUGGCUUCACCCAUUUUCACUCCACAUCCAAGAAACAAAAAGAGCAUCUCUUCUAAAUUUUGGACCAGAUGCCAUAGGGAAAUUGAUAGAACAGAGAGUGCAACAUGUAUUUUACUAUUUAACCCUUCCUGGAAGAAACUUGCAGAGUCUUCUACUACUUCCGUUCUUCUCAGAAGACCGAAGCAAAAGAACAAAGAUUUUCUAGCCGCAGAGACCUGGAUGUGGGAACUGAAGCGGAGCCACUGCGUAGCUCCACUACUCCAGGCAAGUUAACACUACUUUUCUGAAACGUAGUUUCUUUGUCUCUGACACUGCAUAGCAGUGCUGAUCUUAUGUUACUUUUACGGAUGGUAAGUAAGAUAUGGCACCAGCAGUGUGCAGUACGAUUCUUGGGCUAGAGCACGUUUCACAGGUAAGGGCUGCGCUGAUUAUGUUGAGGA